UACGUAGGGUGCAAGCGUUGUCCGGAAUUAUUGGGCGUAAAGAGCUCGUAGGCGGUCCGUCACGUCGGCUGUGAAACCUCGGGCGUCAACCCGGACCCGUCGCAGCCGAUACGGGCGGACUAGAAUUCGGUAGGGGAGACUGGAAUUCCUGGUGUAGCGGUGAAAUGCGCAGAUAUCAGGAGGAACACCGGUGGCGAAGGCGGGUCUCUGGGCCGAUAUUGACGCUGAGGAGCGAAAGCGUGGGGAGCGAACAGG
rnacentral:rRNA from 1 species